GAUGAACGCUGGCGGCGUGCCUAAUACAUGCAAGUGGAACGCUGAAGGAAGGAGCUUGCUCUUUCCGGAUGAGUUGCGAACGGGUGAGUAACGCGUAGGUAACCUGCCUGGUAGCGGGGGAUAACUAUUGGAAACGAUAGCUAAUACCGCAUAACAGUAGAUGUUGCAUGAUAUCUACUUAAAAGGUGCAAUUGCACCACUACCAGAUGGACCUGCGUUGUAUUAGCUAGUUGGUGAGGUAACGGCUCACCAAGGCGACGAUACAUAGCCGACCUGAGAGGGUGAUCGGCCACACUGGGACUGAGACACGGCCCAGACUCCUACGGGAGGCAGCAGUAGGGAAUCUUCGGCAAUGGACGGAAGUCUGACCGAGUAACGCCGCGUGAGUGAAGAAGGUUUUCGGAUCGUAAAGCUCUGUUGUAAGAGAAGAACGAGUGUGAGAGUGGAAAGUUCACACUGUGACGGUAUCUUACCAGAAAGGGACGGCUAACUACGUG
rnacentral:rRNA from 1 species